UGUUUCAUAUUUAUAUUUUAUCCUAAAAUUGUCGUUUUAGUUUCCAAUCCAUCAAAUAUAAGAGCGACGUUUAUGUUUCCUUUCUUCGACCUUUCACUAUUUUUAUCACUCAAUUUGGUUACAGAAUUUAUAACCAAAAAAUUUCCAGUUGCUCUCAAUCUCACACUCGUAAGCCAUAAGGUAAGAAAUUUGAAAUCAUGUUAAAUAAU
rnacentral:sRNA from 1 species